rnacentral:rRNA from 1 species
UUGGAGGGCAAGUCUGGUGCCAGCAGCCGCGGUAAUUCCAGCUCCAAUAGCGUAUAUUAAAGUUGUUGCAGUUAAAAAGCUCGUAGUUGAAUUUCGGGAUCAAUACGUCGGUCGUGCUUCGGUACGUACUGGCGUCAUUGAUUUCUCCCUUCUGACGAACCAUGAUGUCAUUAACUUGGUGUCAUGGGAAAUCAGGACUGUUACUUUGAAAAAAUUAGAGUGUUUAAAGCAGGCUCACGCUUGAAUACAUUAGCAUGGAAUAA